rnacentral:pre_miRNA from 1 species
AUCGCAUGGGAACUCUCAGGCUUAGUACUUUAUAAACCGAAAGUAUAAUACUGUGCUUGAGAGUGCGCGGU